GCUAUAGCGUCGCUGGACGUCCUCACGUUAUGCGAGGACCUCCAGUCACAAAAAUACCCAUAGGAAAGCAUUUUUAAUGCUUUCUAUGGGGAAGUCUAAUGCGCAUUAGGUCUCCCCUGCCGAAGUUCGCGUGGGCGGACCCUAAACCACCGCGGGACAUCGGCAGUGGUCUCAGGUAAGUCACUGGGAUGGGUGGGGACCUGCAGUUCCAGGAAAAAAAAAAAAAACUUUUCCUAGCACUGGAGUGUCCCUUUAACCCCUUAAAGACACAUGACAUGUGACAUGUCAUGAUUCCCUUUUAUUCCAGAAGUUUGGUCCUUAAGGGGAUAAGCUAAAUUAGUGCUGGUGCCUAUAGUGCCUCCAACAGAUGGAAGUGUGAUCUAGCUUGCUUUUUGGAUUGUCUGUAGGAAGAGUUAUCCUACAAUACAUCAAACUUAAUCAUUUGCCUCCUUUAGUAAAAUAUGGCUAUUGCAAAGCUUAUAGUCCCAGACUCUACUGAACGCACACUGUUAUGCAAAGCACCUCAACUUGCAUAAUCAAACACAAAGAGCAGACAGAAGCCUUUGUUCCAG